AGGUGGGAGGGGAAGUAGGAAGGAAAGGGUUGUGAGUGCUGCAGCACGAUGGCCACAGUGCUGCAACUCCAGCUUCCAUGGUGCUUCUGGUCUUGAAGACGGAUGAACAGAAGUGAGCUGUAGCCUGUUCAGACAACUCGCCUGCCAUGGAGAGAUGAUGUACCGAGGAACCUCAGGCCAGGCUGUCUGUCAGUAUGAUACUGUGAGGUGUAAUGGAGAUGUGUUCUGCCAAAGACUGAAGAAGAGGUAGUCCUUCAGAGAGACAAGGAAUGCUAAGCAGCAGAGUCCAUUUAAAUGAAAUGCAUUUUAAUGGUGAGGAAUGUGAACAGUGGUGGAGCCACCUAAGCAUUGGUUGCUGCAUGGAUAUCCUGGGAGCC
rnacentral:lncRNA from 1 species